rnacentral:rRNA from 1 species
AUUGAACGCUGGCGGCAGGCUUAACACAUGCAAGUCGAGCGGGGGAAGGUAGCUUGCUACUGGACCUAGCGGCGGACGGGUGAGUAAUGCUUAGGAAUCUGCCUAUUAGUGGGGGACAACAUCUCGAAAGGGAUGCUAAUACCGCAUACGUCCUACGGGAGAAAGCAGGGGAUCUUCGGGCCUUGCGCUAAUAGGUGAGCCUAAGUCGGAUUAGCUAGUUUGUGGGGUAAAGGCCUACCAAGGCGACGAUCUGUAGCGGGUCUGAGAGGAUGAUCCGCCAAACUGGGACUGAGACACGGCCCAGACUCCUACGGGAGGCAGCAGUGGGGAAUAUUGGACAAUGGGGGGAACCCUGAUCCAGCCAUGCCGCGUGUGUGAAGAAGGCCUUAUGGUUGUAAAGCACUUUAAGCGAGGAGGAGGCUACUCUAGUUAAUACCUAGGGAUAGUGGACGUUACUCGCAGAAUAAGCACCGGCUAACUCUGUGCCAGCCGCCGCCGUAA